ensembl:lncRNA
AUGGCGGCGUUGGCCUCAAAGAGACCUUUGCGCCUGUGCAAGUGCCUCCCCAGCGAGCUUUCAAGUGCUGGAAGUUGGACUUCCGCCAGACUGGCUUUUGGGCCCACUUCUGCGAGAACGCAUGCGCUGAAUGUAUACGUGUUCCGUCUGGCCCCGAGGCGCGUUUACAUGCUCGUUCCGGAUUGGCCCGUUACUAGGCCGUAUCUGUAUGCGCGCGCGCCACCUUCGCUGACCCGGAAGUUCUCGCCUCAGUUAAAGGCCUCAGCCCGCGGUGCGCGGCCUCUUCCUGUCUGUGCCUGGUCGGCGCGUGGUCUACGACGAACGAUCGAGACACCUAGGCUGUGCCUUCAGGUGAGGUUGUCGCGGAGUAGGGGGUCCGAGGGGCGACCCUGGGUCUCCCGGAAGCUGUGGGUGCGCCCCGCCCCCGGGGCCUUUCCUCGUGCGGUUGACCUGACGGAGGCGCGAGGAAAGUUUCUCUUGCUGUCUCGCUUCAGCUCCGCCGCCGCUGUAGCCUUGCCUCGCGGCGUACUGGGGAAGUUGCUCGCGGUUGCCUUGGUCUCUGCAGUUGUACUUUAUUUACGAUGACGGAGUGGGAAACAGCUGCACCUGCAGUAGCAGAGACCCCCGACAUCAAGCUCUUUGGGAAGUGGAGCACCGACGACGUGCAGAUCAAUGACAUUUCCCUGCAGGUAAGGAGGGUGUAACGAUUGUGCUCCCUGGCUGGGGGCGGGGUUACUUGAAACUUGUAGCCUUCCUGCCAAGUAGAGUUGAAGGUGGCACAGGUAAAGGAGGGAUUCCUGGACCACCACACCCACCAUAUCUGUUUUUCUUUGUAUCCUGUUAGAGGUUGCUACAGUUUUUCUCAGGAGAUGGUUCCUUCCACAGUAAUUAUCACAUCGCACAGGUGGUUUAGUUUUUUUUGUGUGUUGUAGUGAAAUAUAUAGAAAGUUUAUUUUUUAGUUUUAUACAUUUUGUUUUUUAAAUGUGUUUCUUAUUUUACUCAAGUAUUGAAAAUAGCAAAGGCAAUACUAUUUUAUUCAGGCUAUAACAUUUGAAUUAUAUGUUUUAGAAUUAAAUAAAAAUGGGCAGUAUUCAUCAAGUCCAGAAGUUGUGCCCUGGAGAGAAGAGUCAAAUUACAGAGAUUCAAAUGCCUGAAAAUCUAAACACUUUCCAGUUGUCCCUCAGUGUCUGAGGGGAUGUUGGUUCCAGGAGCCCCAAGUUUACUAAAACCCUCAGGUGCUCACGUCCCUUCAUGUGCACAGGUAUUUGAAGUGUACGAGCCCCAAAUUAUUAUUUUGUGUGAGGAAAUCCAAUUGUCUCAGCACAUGUGAUUUUUGUCUUUUGGAGUUUUGUGCAUCUUAACAAAUUUAGGCCAUAAAAUGUUAUUUAAAUCUCAUUUAUAUGGUAUAUGUAUGUAUCCCGGCACCAUUUGUUGAAGGGACUGUUUAUCCCAUUGAAUAGUCUUGGCACCGUUGUUGAAUAUCAAUUCAGCAAAGAUGUAAGGGUUUAUUUCUGGAUUCUGAACUCUUAUUUCAUUGGUCUCUAUGCCCCCCCCCCUUUUAUUUUUGGUGCCAGUAUCACAGUCUUGAUUACUAUAGCUUUGUAAGAAGUUUUGAAAUUGGUAAAUGGGAGUUCUCCACUGCAGUGUUGCCCCCACACUGUUUUACACUUGGGCUCAUUAGGACAUUUGUGGGGUCUUUAUAAAAAGAAUUUAUGUUUUGUGACUGCAUUGGUAUUGUUCGGGCGCUAAGUUAUGUCUGACUGUGACCCCAUGAACUGCAGCACAUCAGGCUUCCCUGUUCUUCACUAUCUGUCGGAGUUUCCUCAAACUCACGUCCAUUGUGUUGCCAUCCAACCAGCAUUACUAUUUGUUACUUCUAUGCAAUGCGGGGAACCCGGGUUUGAUUUCUGCACUGGGAAGAUCGGCUGGAGAAGGGAUAGGUUACCCACUCCAGUAUUCUGGCCUGGAGAAUUCCAUGGACUGUAUAGUUCAUGGGGUCGCAAAGAUUUGGACACAACUGAGCAACUUUGACUUUUCAUGUAAAUCACAGUAACUAGGCACUGAGCCCAGUGGAGAAUUCAAAUCUGGUUUUCACUCUGAGUGUCUUCUAGAGCUGUUUUCCUUCACAGGUUUGUUGGAGGAGGUUUGCAAGCUUAAAACGGCCAGAUACUAAGUGUUUUAGUCUUGGCAGGUCCCAUGAUGGUCUGUCACAUGUGUGUUUGCCUCUUUGUGUUUUUUUUUUCCCUUCUUGCUUUUUUUGGUACAAAACUUUAAUAAUGUAAAAACAAUUUUUCACUUUUUCCUGGUGUUCUUCAAGAGGCUGGGGAAGCAGAAGUCAGCAUGGUAUCAAAAUUCUCACUAUCAAAAGUGUACUGGACUCUACCAUGGGGCCCAGCAACAUAACCAAAUGCUUGCUGGGGUGUUUGGUAUUCACAGUUUUUUCUUGCACAGUGCGAGUCCCUGCAUGUACACCCAUCUGUAUACUUCUGUUUGUGCAAAUGGUUCUCUCCAGAGGAGACUCCAGUCUGUCAUGCCUAUGUCAGAAUCCUGUAUUCUUUCCUGUCAAUCCUUGGUUUUGUAGAAACUCAUUGUUUGUAAAUGUUCUUGUUUGUUUGUGGUAGAGUGACUUUUAUGUAGGGUUCAUCCUGGAAAUAGGUCAGAAGUAAUCCUUUUCAGGUACAUAGAGUUCCUCUGACUCAGCCCCUCCCCCAACGAUUUAGUGUUUACUAGAUAUUGUCUUGGGACAUGUAUGUUUUCAUAGGCAAGAUUGUUGAAUGAUUCUUUUAAAACAGUGGUUCUCUGGGAUGGUUCCCCCAUCAGCCCUUUAAGGAACAUUAGGCAAUGUCUGGGCACAUGUUUGGGUCAGUGAAGAGUGAAGAACACUUUUAAAAGAAAACUGGGGUUGUGGGCCAUCAUCUCCUUAGUUCUCCACAUCCUUCCUCCCAUUGUUAAGAAAGUACUCUUUUUAGUGAGCUGGUAAAGUCACUUUGUUGUUCAGUUGCUAACUCACAUCAGUCAGUUCAGUUGCGUCCGACUCUUUGCAAACCCGUGGACUGCAGCACGCCAGGCUUCCCUCUUUUUCACUGUCUCCUGGAAUUUGUUCAGAUUCAUGUCCAUUGACCAUGCCAUCCAACCAUCUCAUCCUCUGUCGCCCCCUUCUCCCGCCUUCAGUCUUUCCCAGCAUGAGGGUCUUUUUCUGGUGAGUCAGUUCUUUGCAUCAGGUGGCCAAAGUAUUGGAGCUUCAGCAUCAGUCCUUCCAAUGAAUAUUCAGGGUUGAUUUCCUUUAGGAUAGAUUGGUUGGAUCUCCUUGCAGUCCAAGGGACUCUCAAGAGUCUUCUCCAAUACCACAGUUCAAAAGCAUCAGUUCUUCAGCGCUCAGCUUUCUUUAUGGUCCAACUCUCACAUCUGUACAUGACUACUGGAAAAACCAUAGCUUUAACUAGGCAGACCUUAGUUGGCAAAGUGAUGUCUCUUUAAUACUCUGUCUAGGUUGUCAUAGCUUUCCUUCCAAGGGUCACUUGCUUAGAUUUUAUUCUUUGUGGCAGGCAGGGGCUCACAUCCAAAGCCCCACAGGUGGGUGGGGGCUCCCGUAAGCGGGUGUUGGGUCCCUCUGGUACCCUCGGAUGUCCAUCCUGCUCUUGAGUGAGCUUCUUCUGCUGCUCCAGGAUUACAUUGCUGUCAAGGAGAAGUACGCCAAGUACCUGCCCCACAGCGCGGGCCGCUAUGCGGCCAAGCGCUUCCGCAAGGCACAGUGCCCCAUCGUGGAACGCCUCACCAACUCC